GUGGAGCUGGAAAGGUGGAGGCGGAAGUGACUGAUCAAUUCAGGGGCGUGGGGUUCGUUUAGGUUUUGCCCUGUGUAUGACCUCGUUUGGAGCCAUGAAACCAGAGUUUCGCUCUUUUUGACCAAGCUGGAGUGCAAUGGCGUGAUCUCGGCUCGCUGCAAUCUCUGCCUUCCAGGUUCAAGUGAUUCUCCUGCCUCAGCCUUCUGAGUAGUUGGGAUUACAGGAAGCUCUUCCACGAGUUCACGAAUGGAAAUAACAUCAAGAGUUUUUCAUCUUCUUAGUGUGCAAGGUAUGGAUAUUCUGUGUGUGAACUUCAAGAGUAUCUAAGGGAGGCAAUAACAUGGUUGAUAAUAUACCAGAGACUACAAACUGUCUGUGCAUCCCAGAGGAACAGGAAGCUUGUGCAGGUGAAAAGACUGGAGGAGGAAGUAUGUUGAUGAUACCCAGGAAGCCCACCUUCCACUUCUUUGGUCAUCAGAAAUGUCUGAGGAAUAGUCUUAGUGGAUUAUCCCAAACUUGACACAUUUUUUGCAAAAUGCUAUACAAAAAGAAGAUACAUGCGAUUAUGACAAGAUUCUCCACUUGGUGUGACCAGUCUCAUACAACCCAAGGCUGUGUGUCCAAAGGCAACUGUACUGAAUACCGGAAAGCAUGUAUUUGUUUGCUAAAUUGCUCUCUUUCCACCAGUGAUAUCAAUUCUGAAAUACUUUUGAGAUCUUGACAAUAAUCAAAAGGUAGCCAGGUGCAUC
ensembl:lncRNA ZRANB2-DT ZRANB2 divergent transcript